CUUGAGCUACGCAGCUAUCAAGGCACACACAGAAGAGCUAGUCCAUUAGCCCAAGCCCUCAAGUGCCCAAAGCUUCCAUCCACAGCAUCGCUUCACCUGCUGUUAGUCAAAGCAGACCACACAGUAGCUACAACACCAGCCGGUCAAGACAGUUGGGAUGUAGGAAAAUAAAACCAGUAUAGCUUGUAGAUGGAAGAGGCAUGAAGUAGAGUCGAGUUGUUUCAGGCAACGUUCUGCUAACCUAGAUGUAUAAGACUCCAGCUACCAACCAGUAGAGCCCCAGAUAGAGCAGUGAGCAGCUCCUCUGAGAACAGAACUGAGUAAUAGCCUUCAACCCAAGGCUCCAACUUUCAGAUUGGUUUUGUUUCACACGGACGUGGUCAUGAUGAGCCGUGGCAAUGUGACAUCUUGAUUAAAUGUUUGUGUCAAGCUGCUUUGACGAACAUUCUCACCUUAGAGACCCCAGGUCAAGACAUCCUGUUUUUGGUUUUUCUAGAAUAUAGGCUCAUUUAUGCAACUGUUUUUUCCUUUCUUCCUGAUGUGUGGCAAUUUCAGUUGCCGUGGGAAAUUUAUUUGCUUGUUGAUUUGUUUCUGUAUUUUAAUGGAGGCUUAGAUUAAAAAUAAAUUCAGGAAAACUAUCUAAAAAUCUUUUGAGAUGAAGGCAAAGCAAUAUUUCAAAAUAGAUUGUAAAUAUUUUCCUUGUUAUGGACUACCCAAGGCAAAGAUUUAAAAGCUUCAAAAGUGACUGUAGCUUAGUUAGUACAAUAGAUAUUUACAUAUGCAAAAAUAAUGCAUGGAUUGAUUCUGUUGUGAAAAACA